rnacentral:rRNA from 1 species
AGCUCCAAUAGCGUAUAUUAAAGUUGUUGCAGUUAAAAAGCUCGUAGUUGGAUUUCUGGUGGGGCUGUCGGCCUGGCUCCGAAAGGGGUCGUGGUAUCGUUACACGCCUGGCCAUCCUCGGGGGAAGCUUUGCUGGCAUUAAGUUGUCGGCGGAGUGACGCUCGUCGUUUACUGUGAACAAAUUAGAGUGUUCAAAGCAGGCUUAGGCCGUUGAAUACAUUAGCAUGGAAUAAUGAGAUAGGACUUUGGUGGUCUAUUUUGUUGGUUUGCACGCCGAAGUAAUGAUUAAUAGGGGCGGUUGGGGGUAUUCGUAUUCAAUUGUCAGAGGUGAAAUUCUUGGAUUUAUGGAAGACGAACUACUGCGAAAGCAUUUACCAAGGAUGUUUUCAUUAAUCAAGAA